rnacentral:rRNA from 1 species
UAGGGAAUCUUCGGCAAUGGGGGGAACCCUGACCGAGCAACGCCGCGUGAGUGAAGAAGGUUUUCGGAUCGUAAAGCUCUGUUGUUAAGGAAGAACGAGUGUGAGAAUGGAAAGUUCAUACUGUGACGGUACUUAACCAGAAAGGGACGGCUAACUACGUGCCAGCAGCCGCGGUAAUACGUAGGUCCCGAGCGUUGUCCGGAUUUAUUGGGCGUAAAGCGAGCGCAGGCGGUUAGAUAAGUCUGAAGUUAAAGGCAGUGGCUCAACCAUUGUAGGCUUUGGAAACUGUUUAACUUGAGUGCAGAAGGGGGGAGUGGAAUUCCAUGUGUAGCGGUGAAAUGCGUAGAUAUAUGGAGGAACCCCGGUGGCGAAAGCGGCUCUCUGGUCUGUACCUGACGCUGAGGCUCGAAAGCGUGGGGAGCGAACAGG